UACGGAGGGUGCUAGCGUUAUUCGGAAUUACUGGGCGUAAAGCGCACGUAGGCGGCUUUGUAAGUCAGAGGUGAAAGCCCGGAGCUCAACUCCGGAACUGCCUUUUAGACUGCAUCGCUUGAAUCCAGGAGAGGUGAGUGGAAUUCCGAGUGUAGAGGUGAAAUUCGUAGAUAUUCGGAAGAACACCAGUGGCGAAGGCGGCUCACUGGACUGGUAUUGACGCUGAGGUGCGAAAGCGUGGGGAGCAAACAGG
rnacentral:rRNA from 1 species